rnacentral:tRNA from 1 species
GCGGGUGUGCCGGAGCGGUCAAACGGGCGACGUUAAGGCCGUCGUUGCUUAGUGCAUGCCUAGGUUCGAAUCCUAGCACCCGCA